rnacentral:tRNA from 1 species
CGGGUAGCUCAGUUGGUAGAGCAGGAACCAUACGUUUCACAACUCCUUGUCGCCGUUUCCCCAAUCGUGAAUGCCACCGAAGAAUACACCUCAUCAGUGAGCGGCGAAAGCCGUGCGGGUUCGAGUCCCGCCGGGCCGC